rnacentral:sRNA from 1 species
GCCAGGCACGGUGGCACUUGCCUGUAAUCCCUGCAGCUCGGGAGGCUGAGAUAGGAGGAUCACGAGUUCAAAACUAGCCUCAGCAGAAGUGAGGCACUAAGCAACUCAGUGAGACUCUGUCUCUA